UUUAAAGUGAGAGUUCGAUCCUGGCUCAGGAUGAACGCUGGCGGCGUGCCUAACACAUGCAAGUCGAACGGAGUUUAACGCUGAUGAAGCUUCGGCAGAUUCUUGUUAAACUUAGUGGCGGACGGGUGAGUAACGCGUGGGUAACCUGCCUCAUACAGGGGGAUAGCAGUUGGAAACGACUGAUAACACCGCAUAAGCG
rnacentral:rRNA from 1 species